rnacentral:rRNA from 1 species
UUGAACGCUGGUGGCAGGCCUAACACAUGCAAGUCGAGCGGAUGAAGGGAGCUUGCUCCUGGAUUCAGCGGCGGACGGGUGAGUAAUGCCUAGGAAUCUGCCUGGUAGUGGGGGAUAACGUCCGGAAACGGGCGCUAAUACCGCAUACGUCCUGAGGGAGAAAGUGGGGGAUCUUCGGACCUCACGCUAUCAGAUGAGCCUAGGUCGGAUUAGCUAGUUGGUGGGGUAAAGGCCUACCAAGGCGACGAUCCGUAACUGGUCUGAGAGGAUGAUCAGUCACACUGGAACUGAGACACGGUCCAGACUCCUACGGGAGGCAGCAGUGGGGAAUAUUGGACAAUGGGCGAAAGCCUGAUCCAGCCAUGCCGCGUGUGUGAAGAAGGUCUUCGGAUUGUAAAGCACUUUAAGUUGGGAGGAAGGGCAGUAAGUUAAUACCUUGCUGUUUUGACGUUACCAACAGAAUAAGCACCGGCUAACUUCGU